rnacentral:rRNA from 1 species
UACGGAGGGUGCAAGCGUUAUCCGGAUUCACUGGGUUUAAAGGGUGCGUAGGUGGGUUGGUAAGUCAGUGGUGAAAUCCCCGAGCUUAACUUGGGAACUGCCAUUGAUACUAUCAGUCUUGAAUAUUGUGGAGGUUAGCGGAAUAUGUCAUGUAGCGGUGAAAUGCUUAGAUAUGACAUAGAACACCAAUUGCGAAGGCAGCUUGCUACACAGUUAUUGACGCUGAGGCACGAAAGCGUGGGGAUCAAACAGG